GACGAACGCUGGCGGCGUGCUUAUCACAUGCAAGUCGAACGGAAAGGCCCUGCUUUUGUGGGGUGCUCGAGUGGCGAACGGGUGAGUAACACGUGAGUAACCUGCCCUUGACUUUGGGAUAACUUCAGGAAACUGGGGCUAAUACCGGAUAGGAGCUCCUGCUGCAUGGUGGGGGUUGGAAAGUUUCGGCGGUUGGGGAUGGACUCGCGGCUUAUCAGCUUGUUGGUGGGGUAGUGGCUUACCAAGGGUUUGACGGGUAGCCGGCCUGAGAGGGUGACCGGCCACAUUGGGACUGAGAUACGGCCCAGACUCCUACGGGAGGCAGCAGUGGGGAAUAUUGCACAAUGGGCGGAAGCCUGAUGCAGCAACGCCGCGUGCGGGAUGACGGCCUUCGGGUUGUAAACCGCUUUCGACUGUGACGAAGCGUGAGUGACGGUAAUGGGUAAAGAAGCAUCGGCUAACUACGUG
rnacentral:rRNA from 1 species